AUCAGCUGGUAGUGCAUGUUAUCGAUUAUCUCCAGUCACGUACCACGCUCGGAGUGAGUAUUGAAUUGAAUGCAUCAUG
rnacentral:snoRNA from 1 species